UGGCGGACGGGUGAGUAAUGUCUGGGAAACUGCCUGAGGGAGGGGGAUAACUACUGGAAACGGUAGCUAAUACCGCAUAACGUCGCAAGACCAAAGAGGGGGACCUUCGGGCCUCUUGCCAUCGGAUGUGCCCAGAUGGGAUUAGCUAGUAGGUGGGGUAACGGCUCACCUAGGCGACGAUCCCUAGCUGGUCUGAGAGGAUGACCAGCCACACUGGAACUGAGACACGGUCCAG
rnacentral:rRNA from 1 species